GUGGCAGUGGCAGGAGGGGGAGCAGCCACUGAAGCUGUGCCAUGCUCGGCUCCACAAUCAACCUCCUCUUCCUCCUCCUGCCACCACCACU